AGCGUAGGUGGUUGGAUAAGUUAGAUGUGAAAGCCCGCAGCUUAACUGCGGAACUGCAUCUAAAACUGUCUAACUUGAGUGCAGGAGAGGUAAGCGGAAUUCCUAGUGUAGCGGUGGAAUGCGUAGAUAUUAGGAGGAACACCAGAGGCGAAGGCGGCUUACUGGACUGUAACUGACACUGAGGCUCGAAAGCGUGGGGAGCAAACA
rnacentral:rRNA from 1 species